AGAUCAUGUGAGGACAACUCCUAAGCAAGCCUUUGUAUCUCUCACAUGCUUCAUAUAAGGACUCGCCAUCGUUUUGUUGGAAAUUAGAAAUAUUCUUUUUGAGUUU